rnacentral:other from 1 species
GAUAGCCUGCCGUGUGCGUAAAUUCGGCUUAGUUUUGAGCCAACACUAAUACAUUGGGAACUCGGAGUCCUGCAGUGGAAUAAAUGCCCCUUGGGGACUUAGGAAGCCGCAGGCAGAGUACCCACCUGCGACAGCAGGGUCAAAACGGUCGACAUACGGCAUGGCGGGUGUUAU